rnacentral:rRNA from 1 species
AUUGAACGCUGGCGGCAGGCCUAACACAUGCAAGUCGAGCGGAGCGGCGGACGGGUGAGUAAGGCCUAGGAAUCUGCCUGGGAGUGGGGGAUAACGUCCGGAAACGGGCGCUAAUACCGCAUACUCUCAGAUGAGCCUAGGUCGGAUUGGAUAGUGGGUGGGGGAAAGGCAUACCAUGGCGACGAUCCGUAACUGGUCUGGGAGGAUGAUCAGUCACACUGGAACUGAGACACGGUCCAGACUCCUACGGGAGGCAGCAGUGGGGAAUAUUGGACAAUGGGCGGAAGCCUGAUCCAGCCAUGCCGCGUGUGUGAAGAAGGUCUUCGGAUUGUAAAGCACUGUAAGUUGGGAGGCGUUACCAACAGAAUAAGCACCGGCUAACUUCGUGCCAGCAGCCGCGGUAAUUC